UCCUCCCUCUUUCUUCGUGCUUCCCCCCUGCACGUCGACCGGAAAGGCCCUGCUUUUGUGGGGUGCUCGAGUGGCGAACGGGUGGGUAACACGUGAGUAACCUGCCCUUGACUUUGGGAUAACUUCAGGAAACUGGGGCUAAUACCGGAUAGGAGCUCCUGCUGCAUGGUGGGGGUUGGAAAGUUUCGGCGGUUGGGGAUGGACUAGAGGCUUAGCGGCUUGUUGGUGGGGUAGUGGCUUACCAAGGCUUUGCAGGGUAGCCGGCCUGAGAGGGUGACCGGCGACAUUGGGACUACGAGACGGCCCAGACUCCUACGGGAGGCAGCGGUGGGGAAUCUUGCAGAAUGGGCGGAAGCCUGAUGCAGCGACGCCGCGUGCGGGAUGCCGGCCGUCGGGUUAUAAACCGCUUUCGCCUGUGACGAAGCGUGAGUGACGGUAAUGGGUAAAGAAGCACCGGCUAACUACGUG
rnacentral:rRNA from 1 species